rnacentral:rRNA from 1 species
GGUUGUUCCUUGAGGAGUGGCUUCCGGAGCUAACGCGUUAAGUCGACCGCCUGGGGAGUACGGCCGCAAGGUUAAAACUCAAAUGAAUUGACGGGGGCCCGCACAAGCGGUGGAGCAUGUGGUUUAAUUCGAUGCAACGCGAAGAACCUUACCUACUCUUGACAUCCAGAGAACUUACCAGAGAUGCAUUGGUGCCUUCGGGAACUCUGAGACAGGUGCUGCAUGGCUGUCGUCAGCUCGUGUUGUGAAAUGUUGGGUUAAGUCCCGCAACGAGCGCAACCCUUAUCCUUUGUUGCCAGCGGUUCGGCCGGGAACUCAAAGGAGACUGCCAGUGAUAAACUGGAGGAAGGUGGGGAUGACGUCAAGUCAUCAUGGCCCUUACGAGUAGGGCUACACACGUGCUACAAUGGCGCAUACAAAGAGAAGCGACCUCGCGAGAGCAAGCGGACCUCAUAAAGUGCGUCGUAGUCCGGAUUGGAGUCUGCAACUCGACUCCAUGAAGUCGGAAUCGCUAGUAAUCGUAGAUCAGAAUGCUACGGUGAAUACGUUCCCGGGCCUUGCACUCCCCGCCCGUCAAAA